UACGGGGGGGGGCAAGCGUUGUUCGGAAUUACUGGGCGUAAAGGGCUCGUAGGCGGCCAACUAAGUCAGACGUGAAAUCCCCAGGCUUAACCUGGGAACUGCGUCUGAUACUGGAUGGCUUGAGUUUGGGAGAGGGAUGCGGAAUUCCAGGUGUAGCGGUGAAAUGCGUAGAUAUCUGGAGGAACACCGGUGGCGAAGGCGGCAUCCUGGACCAACACUGACGCUGAGUGAGCGAAAGCCAGGGGAGCAAACGGG
rnacentral:rRNA from 1 species